rnacentral:snRNA from 1 species
UGUGACGUAUGUGUCUGGG